UGGUUUUUUCAUGUUGUCAAAGAGUUGAACAAUAAAAAUAGAUGGCGAAUGCCUGAUCGAAUUGAUCGGAUCAUGUAGGAACAAGGUUCAAGUCUACCGGUCUGUUAGGAUGCCUCAGCUGCAUACAUCACUGCACUUCCACUUGACACCUAUCGUUAAUGAGAAACGGCUCGUCUCGCCGUGACCUUC
rnacentral:rRNA from 1 species